GCUAAUGUAGCUUAAAUCAAAGCAUAACACUGAAGAUGUUAAAAUGGGCCCUAGAAAGCCCCAUGAGCA
rnacentral:tRNA from 1 species